UCCGGUUUGUCACCGGCAGUCCCAUUAGAGUGCCCAACUAAAUGUGGCAACUAAUGGCAAGGGUUGCGCUCGUUGCGGGACUUAACCCAACAUCUCACGACACGAGCUGACGACAGCCAUGCAGCACCUGUGCGCCGGUUCUCUUUCGAGCACACCCGCCUUUCAGCAGGCUUCCGACCAUGUCAAGGGUAGGUAAGGUUUUUCGCGUUGCAUCGAAUUAAUCCACAUCAUCCACCGCUUGUGCGGGUCCCCGUCAAUUCCUUUGAGUUUUAAUCUUGCGACCGUACUCCCCAGGCGGGAGGCUUAAUGCGUUAGCUGCGCCACUGAACAGCAAGCUGUCCAACGGCUAGCCUCCAUAGUUUACGGCGUGGACUAC
rnacentral:misc_RNA from 1 species